AGAGGCAGGAUCAGACAGGCAAUCAUCAACAACAUACUCUGAAUUUAAGAAUGACCACCACACAGUAAAAGAACUGGAGUUUGGAGGAAAACUUCAGCUCUGUGAAGUGUGGUUGGCUGAAACAAACUUCGACUAGUGAGAGAAACUCUCCCUGCUGAUGCUAUGCUGAAGAGAAAGUACAGUUGCUUCUUCCUGCCUGCCUUCCAGUCCUCUAUGCCCUCUGUUGACAAAAAUUAACUGGAAGCCAGAUGGCAAAGGUGUCUGGGGAAUGUAGUUUGCAGAGUUCAGUCACAGCACCAUAGAUCACAAAAGAGCUUUCCAAGUGAUCUCUCCAGUAUGGCAACAACUAGAAGCCGUAUGUUUUAUAUAACCUAAUUUCAUAUGCCCUGCAUACAAGCAUAGAUUCUACCUCUUAAUGGACAAGUGUCAACAUCAUGUUUUAGUAGGUCCCAUGGUUUCAGUAUCCCCUCCAAAACUCAUGUUGAGACUUAAUUGUCCACGAGGCAUUAUUGAGAAGUGUGACCUUUAAGAGAUGUUUAAAUUGUGUGGGCUUUACCCUCAUGAAUAGAUCAAUCCAUUCAUGGAUUAAUGAUUAACAGGUCUGUAAAUUAACAGGUUAUCAUGAGAGAGGAACUGGUGGCUUUAUAAGAAAAGAAAGAGAGACCUGAGUUAGCAUGUUAACACUCUCAGCCCCCUUGCCAUGUGAUGACAUGUGCCGCCUUAGAUGCUGCAGACAAUUUUUACCAAAAAAGGCUCUCUCUAGAUGUGCUCAACUUUGGAAUUCCUAGCCUCCUUAACUGUAAGAAAUACAUUCCUUUUCUUAUAAAUU